rnacentral:lncRNA from 1 species
CAGUAACGUAUUCCAUAAAUAUUGUACACAUAAAAAUUGUGUUAUUUUUAUUCCUGUAUGCUCAGCUGCCCAAUAACAGUCUGAGGAUUAACAUAUUUGUUAAAUGCACAAAUACAUUCUUUCACAAAUAUUAGUUUAAUAAUUUUAUAUUAAACUCCCUCUAUACUUACAAUAUGAAUUAGAUAAUUCAGAAUAAACAUUCCAUUGGAAAAAGCUACACAAUUUGUUAUAAAACAUCCUUAAAAGCAUCAGAAAGUUAAUACAGCAAUGAAGAAUUACAGGACCAGAUUAAGAAUGGUCUGCCAGCAACAACUUCAGUUAAUAUUUCUGUUUAUCUGGAUGCUGUCAUCUAUAUGAUCUCAGUAUUUUAAAAAUCAGCUUCCAGCCCAUAUGGUGGUUCAUGCUUGUAAUACCAGCAGUUGAAGAGCCUGAAAUGAGAGGAUUCCUUGAGCCCAGGAGUUCACAAGCAACCUGGGCAACAUAGCAAGAUCCAGUCUCUAUCAAAAGUUAAAAAAAAAAAAGUGUUCCUAUUUCUCCACAUCCUCUCCAGCACCUGUUGUUUCAUGACUUUUUAAUGAUUGCCAUUCUAACUGGUGUGAGAUGGUAUCUCAUUGUGGU